rnacentral:rRNA from 1 species
CCUACGGGGGGCAGCAGUGGGGAAUAUUGGACAAUGGGGGCAACCCUGAUCCAGCCAUGCCGCGUGUGUGAAGAAGGCCCUCGGGUUGUAAAGCACUUUCAGUGAGGAAGAACGCCUGGUGGUUAAUACCCAUCAGGAAAGACAUCACUCACAGAAGAAGCACCGGCUAACUCCGUGCCAGCAGCCGCGGUAAUACGGAGGGUGCGAGCGUUAAUCGGAAUUACUGGGCGUAAAGCGCGCGUAGGUGGCUUGAUAAGCCGGUUGUGAAAGCCCCGGGCUCAACCUGGGAACGGCAUCCGGAACUGUCAAGCUAGAGGGCAGGAGAGGAAGGUAGAAUUCCCGGUGUAGCGGUGAAAUGCGUAGAGAUCGGGAGGAAUACCAGUGGCGAAGGCGGCCUUCUGGACUGACACUGACACUGAGGUGCGAAAGCGUGGGUAGCAAACAGGAUUAGAUACCCGAGUAGUC